rnacentral:rRNA from 1 species
CCUACGGGUGGCAGCAGUGGGGAAUAUUGCACAAUGGGGGAAACCCUGAUGCAGCGACGCCGCGUGAGUGAAGAAGUAAUUCGUUACGUAAAGCUCUAUCAGCAGGGAAGAAACACUGACCUUACGGUCAGCAGACGGUACCUGAGUAAGAAGCCCCGGCUAACUACGUGCCAGCAGCCGCGGUAAUACGUAGGGGGCAAGCGUUAUCCGGAUUUACUGGGUGUAAAGGGAGCGUAGACGGUGCGCCAAGUCUGGAGUGAAAUGCCGUAGCUUACCUGCGGAACUGCUUUGGAAACUGGCGAACUUGAGUGCGUGUGGGGCAGGCGGAAUGCGUGGUGUAGCGGUGAAAUGCGUAGAUAUCAGGAGGAACACCGGUGGCGAAGGCGGCCUAC